GACGAACGCUGGCGGUGUGCUUAACACAUGCAAGUCGAACGGUAAGGCCCUUUCGGGGGUACACGAGUGGCGAACGGGUGAGUAACACGUGAGUAACCUGCCCUCAUCUCUGGGAUAACAGUCGGAAACGGUUGCUAAUACUGGAUAUGAGCUUGCAAGGCAUCUUGUGGGUUGGAAAGAUUUUUUUUGGUUGGGGAUGGACUCGCGGCCUAUCAGCUUGUUGGUGAGGUAGUGGCUCACCAAGGCUUCGACGGGUAGCCGGCCUGAGAGGGCGACCGGCCACAUUGGGACUGAGAUACGGCCCAAACUCCUACGGGAGGCAGCAGUGGGGAAUAUUGCACAAUGGACGGAAGUCUGAUGCAGCAACGCCGCGUGCGGGAUGAAGGCCUUCGGGUUGUAAACCGCUUUCAAUUGUGACGAAGCUUUUUUGUGACGGUAGCAGUAGAAGAAGCACCGGCUAACUACGUG
rnacentral:rRNA from 1 species